GGCGAAUCGGGUGUGGGCCACUCUAUCUUCCUCUGCAUCUGCAGUUUGAAGCAAUUUAUGUUUGGGGUUUCUUUUGAAUUUUGAUGAUGCUUUAAAUCUUCCAUUGCAACUCCCCUCCAUCUCUUCUCUCCAUGAAGGUAUAAUUUUUAUACCAAACUCAUCCUUCUUUAUUUAUAUUUAUGAUUUAUAUUUGUUUUGUAUCUCGUGAAUAUAUACAUGGAAAUGUAUGAGGGUAUUCUCUUUCAAUUUUCAUGAAAUUAAGUUCUAUUUUUAUUUAUUUAUUUCCCCCCACUGAUGGAUAUCAUGAAGUUUGUUUUACCGAUUAGCAUUUUUCCCAUUUAAUAGCCUUCACAAAUUGAGAUUUUUUUGCUUUUUAUUUCUUGCUAGUUAGUAAUGGGGUUGUUUUGUUUUGUCUUAAUUUCAUAAAAAGUAUAUAUUUAUCAACUAAACAUUUACAGAGCUUUCUGCCAUUUAGAUUUUUAGGUAUGUUUAUUGUUGUGAUUUGUGCACCGUUUCAAUCUGAGUUGAGUUGCUGCAAAGGUCUUAGCUGAUCUGUGCCAAACAUGUCCACUAUGGAAAAUCGUGGUGAUUUUGUACAACGGAUUGGAGCCGACAUGUCAAUUGAGGUCUUCUUGCAUUUGGACGACCCUUCUGAUCUUGCCCGUGUUUGUUCUGUUUCCAGUUCUUGGCGCUAUUUUGUGAUUGCAAAUGGCCUUUUUAAGAAGCUUUGCUUGAAAUUGUUGCCUGAAAUGUAUAGUGUUGCUCAUUUCAUUGAAGUAAACAAUAUGAUUGAACCUGUAAGAGUUGGACAGAGUGAUUGCAUGGAAUGGGAGUGCCUCAAAAGAAAUCAUAGAGUCUAUGCUCAAUUGGCUCGAGGUCUUACACCUAUCUUGCAAAAUGAUUGCAUAUCAGAAGCUAUUAGUGCGUCCAGCACUGAUAACUACCCUGAAGAAAGCAUCUGGAACACUUUGGAGCCAAAUGAUAAAGUUGGACAUGGAGCUUCAUAUUGGUCAAGUAAAGGGCAAAGUAACCCUACUGUUCCUGAAGCAUUAGUGUACAAGUUUAUAGCUAAUUUAUGUCUCAUAACUGAAAUCCAUAUUCAACCAUUCCAAGCAUACUUCCAGUAUGGCUUCCCUAUAUAUUCAUCUAAGGCUGUCCGAUUUAGACUGGGUCAUCAUAAGUUUCCACUGCAGUUGGAGAAUAAUGUCACAGUUAAUUCUGCUUUCAAUCACAAUUCAAUGGAUGACAAGUUUAUUUGGACAUAUACUUCACCAGAAUUUCCAAUGGCUCAGGAAAACUGCUUGCAAAAGUUCAAGCUACCAGAACCGGUUCUUUGUAUCGGAGGAAUUUUGCAAGUUGAGCUACUGGGAAGAGUUCAGAGACAAGAAAUGGAUGGAUUAUAUUAUAUAUGUAUAUCCCAUGUUCAGGCGGUGGGACGACCCCUUUCACACCCAUUUGAUGUGGAAAUACUUGAUCCCACAGGAAAGUGCACCUUAAAGUAUAGCCCUCUCAGAGAAUCCCGUGGAUCACAUAAAGGAGAGACAUGUGCAACUUCUCGCUUGCAAAUGUUGACUGUGAGAUUAAUGGAGAGAGGCGUAAGGGGAUGGGAAAAUAUGAUUCUCAAUACACUGCUUGGCACUGGGCCAGUGGCUGAAGAGGAUGAGUCAGAUGAUCUUUUAGAGGAUGACUCGGACGAUGAGCUGUUGACAUAAGCUUUAAAAUUUUUGUUUGCAGUUCGUGUUCCCAUUUACGCCUUCUGCUGCACUAAGAUCAAUUGUGCAAAUGGGUAAUGUGGAAAGCCAUAAACUAGUGUCAUCGACAAGUAGGAGGGGACAUUUCUAUUUGUUUUAACAUUUUUAUGAUAUGGUGAUGUGUGACCAACUUAUUAUUUAGUUAAUGAUAUAUCAUUGAAGUUUCCUUUGUUAUCCCCAAUUUUAUUUAAGUUACUAAGCUAAUAGAUGCCC
rnacentral:misc_RNA from 1 species